rnacentral:rRNA from 1 species
AUUGAACGCUGGCGGCAGGCCUAACACAUGCAAGUCGAGCGGGGUUUUCGGACCUAGCGGCGGACGGGUGAGUAAUGCGUAGGAAGCUACCCGAUAGAGGGGGAUACCAGUUGGAAACGACUGUUAAUACCGCAUAAUGUCUACGGACCAAAGUGUGGGACCUUCGGGCCACAUGCUAUCGGAUGCGCCUACGUGGGAUUAGCUAGUUGGUGAGGUAAUGGCUCACCAAGGCGACGAUCUCUAGCUGGUUUGAGAGGAUGAUCAGCCACACUGGAACUGAGACACGGUCCAGACUCCUACGGGAGGCAGCAGUGGGGAAUAUUGGACAAUGGGCGGCAAGCCUGAUCCAGCCAUGCCGCCGUGUGU